rnacentral:misc_RNA from 1 species
AUCGAGGGAGUGGUGAGGAUGAGGCGAU